ensembl:lncRNA
GGAGACAGCUGUGCUAGUAGGCAUAACCAACACCAGGUGCUAUACGAGGAGCAAGCUAUGGCUCCUCAGAUGACAAUGUAACACUGAGACCAAGGCCAAGAGUUAGGCUGAGCUGGGGGAGGGGGCGGCGGGGCACAGAGCGCCCUCUGACCUCUUCCCACUCCACGAUCCCAGAGAUCUGCCUUCCUGCCUUUACCAUCCAUGUGAAUAAAGAUGACAGAUAUAACCCUGUUUUCCCUCACAAGAGGAAGGGUCUGUGCAGGUAUCUAUUUGAUCAGUGGUACUUCUCAUUUGUGAAGUGUGGAGCCUUCCCUGUGCUCAGUGGGGAAGACAGGGAGAGACAUUCAGUGUCGUGGAAGAGUCCUGCUCUGAAGAGCUAGGACUGAAUUUGGCUUUCAUGAGCCACUGCUCCCAAGUUCCCAUUUUAUUCCUCUGCAAAGACAAGAAAACGGCUCUGUUGGCUCUCUGAGUUUGUCCGGAGGAGCAUGUUGGAAAAUGGAUGUGUAAGCUCUCAGAAAUGAUGACAAAAUGUUUAAGAAUUAUCUAGUGAGCAGCACUGUCCCAGGGCCUGGAGAUGAGGAAUGAAGCAGACACUGACCCCGCCUCCUGGAGACCAACGCCUUCAGCCAUUAAGAGCCCGGUUCUUUUGUAAGCACGGAGGAGAGACGCUGGAGACCAUCCAGAACCAGGCUCUGUGAAACGAAGCCCAAGGCCAAAGAACCACUCCACACAAUCGAGCAGAGAGAAAAGGAGGCCCCUGAUGGCACUUUGAGUUUUCACUUCAACAUUUCACAUCCCAGUCCUGAGCUGUUCCUGACAAUGAAGCCAAGACCACGACAUCUCUGAUUCUUCACAGGCGUCUCCAAGCUACAGAAUUUCAGAAGAACCUAAGUGUACUGGAGCCAAGGCCACAGGGGAAUUUGAGCACAAUGUCCCUCCAUGCCUGGUUAGACCUUAUCCUCUCCAUUAGCUCGGCUUCCUCAUUCUUAAGACAACUGUACCUGGGACUUCUCUGGAGUCCAGUGGGUUGAGACUUGGCCUUCCAAUGCAGGGGGUGUGGGUUUGAUCCCUGGUCAGGGAACUAAGACCCCACGUGCCGCAGGGUGCAGCCAAAAAUUUAAAAAUACUACAUUAUAAAUCAACAUUAAAAAUGAAAAAAAGACAACUGUAACUAACUGUUAAAGCUGUAGCCUCUGUGAUACCUGCGUAUCGCAUAUAGGCUUUACCCUCUGAAACUUCAUUCUAUCUGAUUCUCUCCUUUCCUUUAUUCAUUCAAUACCUGUUUUUGUGCUACUGAGGCAUGGUGAAAAACUCAAGGUUGAAUCCCAUUGAGAGCCUGCUUUCAAAUAACUUAGUGUUACCUACCCAAGGGGAUCAGAAGAUGGCACAGAGGUCAGGAGUCACGAUUUGCUCAAAGUGGUGAGCUGUUAGGAAGUCACCAGAAAACAGCGACUCUUCGAAGGAGGGCAGGUUUGCUUCCGCUGUGGUGAUCCAACAUGGCUCCCAAGAGGAGCCUGCACCUGAGGAGUCCUCGAAGGAGCCCUGGGCUGAGAUCUGCAGAGGCUGAGGGUGGGCAUUCCAGUCUGAGCCAAGGAAGCUUGGAGCACCAUUGUCUUUCACUUUCUCCAGCCAGGUCAGCUCCUGAGGGAACUGGGAGAUGCCUCAGCGAUGCUGGUGGGUGUGCUCCAGGCACAAUUCCCCCACCACAGCUAGGUUAAAAAAAAAAAAGUUGAAAGCUGACACAGAUAGACAAAAAUAAAACAAAAAAUGACCUGGAUUUGAGGAGCUUUAAAAAGAAAGAUCUCUAAAACAAAAAAAAAAGGAGGUGCCGUGUAGUAUCGGUGCCUCAUUUGGCUGGGUUCUAAACCGUGCCCGGGUGCCCCUGAGCCCUGGCUUCGAGUUGCUGGAAUGCUCCUUACGUCUGAGAGAGUCUCAGAAACAACAACAAUAGAUUCUCAGAGAGCCCUGCCCUGGAAGCCUCUGGAGAGGGAGCGUGUGUGACUGUUUUCAAAACAAAAGAUGAUUCCUGAGCAUCAGAGAGCUGCGAAUGCUGUGACAAACUCACACCUCGGGUUCCGUAUGAACAAAUCUCAACCUGUGACUAGAAUGUUCUCACAGUUAUUUAAGUUCCCCGAGUGUGUCGCAUUUUCCUCCUCACCAUAUCAUUAUCGUUGAAAUGUUAAGAAAAAGAAAGCUGAGUAACGCCGUCUUCUGAGUAAGUGUCAGAGAGCCAAAAAUGUAACAGUCCAUCGCAGGCAUUUCCAAACCUUUCAAAUAUAAGACAACACUGUUAUAUCAUUUUUAUUGAAGGCAUAAAAUAAAAAUUAGUAUAAAAUAUUAAAUGUUUAUGAGCACAGACUCUGCUUUUAACAGUUUCUAAUUUGGACAGGAUGAUUUAGCAAUUAAAUUAUCUCAUAAUUACGCUCCUUGAUACAUUAUAAGUUCACUAAGUUCCACCUUCAGUAAUUUCAUGGCAAAAGACAAUGAUGGUUUUAGUCUUAUUUAAAAUGUUAGAU